rnacentral:rRNA from 1 species
CAGUAGNAGCUUGCUCUAUGGGUGGCGAGUGGCGGACGGGUGAGUAAUGCAUCGGGACCUGCCCAGACGUGGGGGAUAACGUAGGGAAACUUACGCUAAUACCGCAUACGUCCUACGGGAGAAAGCGGGGGAUCUGAAAGGACCUCGCGCGGUUGGAUGGACCGAUGUUCGAUUAGCUUGUUGGUGGGGUAAUGGCCUACCAAGGCGACGAUCGAUAGCUGGUCUGAGAGGAUGAUCAGCCACACUGGGACUGAGACACGGCCCAGACUCCUACGGGAGGCAGCAGUGGGGAAUAUUGGACAAUGGGCGCAAGCCUGAUCCAGCAAUGCCGCGUGUGUGAAGAAGGCCCUCGGGUUGUAAAGCACUUUUAUCAGGAGCGAAAUCUGCCCGGUUAAUACCUGGGUAGUCUGGCGGUACCUGAGGAAUAAGCACCGGCUAACUCCGUGC